ACGCCAUUAAAAUGUGCCUCUGCUGUUUCUCAAUAGAGGUGAAAAGCAUUGUAGCUUCCUGGAAUAGGACAAAAUGGCCGAAACAGGCGACGUGUAGAUCAAAGUACGGUAUAGAUCUGUUCCUGCUCUUGCAGUGGUUUUUGGAACUGGAAUGCAAACGUUUCUGCAGCUUGCAUCAUAAUGAGUUACAUCAGCACAUAAAGCGAUUUAAAAAAAGAGCAGAUUGAAACAGGAUCGGCUGUUAACCUUCCCAGGAUUUUAAAUUUAUGGUUAAAUAGAUAUUUGGAUAUUAGUGAUAUCCUCAUUUAAACCUUAACAUCAGUCUGUUUAACCCUGAAGCAAACUAGCUCUGCCUAACGCAGUCCAGGCUCUGCAACGAUUCAUCCAGCCCGCAACACUGUGGGAGCUUAGACAGCUUUGUCUGUACUUGUACCUCUCUGUGCAUUUUUCCAGGACUAUGAUCUUUGUCUGCAAUUAAUCACUGUUCAGGAUGGCUGUUCCCGACGGUAGAAUCCACGAACUGCUCCAGCUGGGAGAGGUCCUGGAGCGUGCGCUGGCGCCGCGUCCCUGCAAACCAGGGCCAGAAGCUGCUGGGGCAGAGUUGUGUGGGUCCUCAGCACUUCUGGAGAUUGUUUUUAUCUGUAGCACAGCCCUGUGCUCUCAGCCACGAGCAAGCCUGCGCAUCCCUCCUGAACUCACCGUGUCUGACUGUUCCCAUGGUAAAACCAGCCACAGCUACCAACACCAUCACAACCUGUGGAUCUCGCUGGAAAUGAGGCAUUUCGGAUCCCUCUCUCUCCAGCAGACCUCCAGAUUCGCUUCUCAGCGUAGAGAACUUCGCUUGAGAAUUCACACUUCAGCGAGGAACAGAAACCUGAAACUGCCCCUAAGCACCUACUGUAUCAGGCUGAGACGUUACCACGUUGAUUUACACACUCUUCUCAUGUGUAAAGUGGAGGGUUUUUCCCCCACAACUGCAAAGCCAAGAGUUCAAUUUCUAAUGAAAAGUGAGAUGUGAAAUAUGGCACGUUGGCCAUGCAUCCAUCAGGUAGGUAUAUUUGGCCCACAUAGUCAGCACCCCUGAUUUAAAGCAUACCAGAGAAAAUAACCCAAGAAACAGUAUGUGUUCCCUGUAAAUAACUGCUCUCUAGGUAGUAGUCAGUGUGUGUUUUAUGAACAAAAUCUGUCCAAACUACAUCAAAGCGACUGAAUAUUUGCUGCCUGAUUUUGCUGGGUUGUAUGUCUAAUUUGGCUAACACCUCCUGUUGCAGCCCCUCGUCCUGUUUUCCUUCAUAACCCUCUGAACUUUAUGGCAGCAUUUGGACAGAUUUUUUGUAGAGUUUAUUGAAAAAUGUUUGCACUGAUUUAGUGUAUGGGCUACUUGAGCCAAGUGAAACAGGAACUAUAUUCCU
rnacentral:lncRNA from 1 species